rnacentral:rRNA from 1 species
UACGUAGGGGGCAAGCGUUGUCCGGAUUUAUUGGGCGUAAAGAGCGUGUAGGCGGCCAGAUAGGUCGGUUGUGAAAACUGGAGGCUCAACCUCCAGACGUCGACCGAAACCAUCUGGCUAGAGUCCGGAAGAGGAGAGUGGAAUCCUGGUGUAGCGGUGAAAUGCGCAGAUAUCAGGAAGAACACCCGUGGCGAAGGCGGCUCUCUGGGACGGUACUGACGCUGAGACGCGAAAGCGUGGGGAGCGAACAGG